GACGAACGCUGGCGGCGUGCUUAACACAUGCAAGUCGAACGAAGUGGCGAACGGGUGAGUAAUACGUGGGUAACCUGCCCUCCUUUUUGGGAUAAGCCUUGGAAACGGAGUCUAAUACCGAAUAAAGGGGGAUGGGCUCGCGGCCUAUCAGCUUGUUGGUGGGGUGAUGCCUACCAAGGCGGUGACGGGUAGCCGGCCUGAGAGGGUAAACUGCCACAUUGGUACUGAGAUAUGGCCCAGACGCGUACGGGAGGCGGCAGUGGGGGAUAUUGCACAAUGGGCGAAUGGCUGAUGCAGCGUCGCCGCGUGGGGGAUGCAGACUUUCGGGUUGUAAUCUUCGUUCGCAAUCAAGCGGGUAGGUAGAGAAGAAGCGCCGGCUAACUACGGGCCAGCAGCCGCGGUAAUUC
rnacentral:rRNA from 1 species